CGUAGGUGGCAAGCGUUGUCCGGAUUUAUUGGGUUUAAAGGGUGCGUAGGCGGUCUUGUAAGUCAGUGGUGAAAUACGGCAGCUUAACUGUCGAGGUGCCAUUGAUACUGCAGGACUUGAGUACAGACGAGGUAGGCGGAAUUGACGGUGUAGCGGUGAAAUGCUUAGAUAUCGUCAAGAACGCCGAUAGCGAAGGCAGCUUACUAGACUGUAACUGACGCUGAUGCACGAAAGUGUGGGGAUCAAACAGGAUUAGAUACCCUGGUAGUCCACACUGUAAACGAUGAUUACUCGAUGUUGGCGAUACACAGCCAGCGUCUUAGCGAAAGCGAUAAGUAAUCCACCUGGGGAGUACGCCGGCAACGGUG
rnacentral:rRNA from 1 species